rnacentral:rRNA from 1 species
CCUACGAGAGGCAGCAGUGAGGAAUAUUGGUCAAUGGACGCAAGUCUGAACCAGCCAUGCCGCGUGCAGGAAGACGGCUCUAUGAGUUGUAAACUGCUUUUGUACGAGGGUAAACGCAGAUACGCGUAUCUGUCUGACAGUAUCGUACGAAUAAGGAUCGGCUAACUCCGUGCCAGCAGCCGCGGUAAUACGGAGGAUUCAAGCGUUAUCCGGAUUUAUUGGGUUUAAAGGGUGCGUAGGCGGUCGGAUAAGUUAGAGGUGAAAUCCCGAGGCUCAACUUCGGAAUUGCCUUUGAUUCUGUUCGGCUAGAGAGUAGUGGCGGUAGGCGGAAUGUAGGGUGUAGCGGUGAAAUGCUUAGAGAUCAUACAGAACACCGAUUGCGAAGGCAGCUUACCAAGCUACUUCUGACGUUGAGGCACGAAAGCGUGGGGAGCAAACAGGAUUAGAUACCCCGUAGUC